AUACUUACUUGGUGCUUGCAGCGUCGCGAUCACGAAGGCGAGCUGCUCGAGUUGGCCUUGCCAUUGCACGCGUACGCAUGCGGCAAGGUUAAUCUCGCCAACGCCACCCCUGACGGGACUAUGUUGGGGCAUUCAAUUUUUGGUAGUUGGGCGGUGGCGUCCGCGCCCUGCCCUA
rnacentral:snRNA from 1 species